CAUACCCACACAAAUACACACACACACACACACACACACACAGGAAGAGACGUGACUCCGACGUGCACCUUACGCAGAGCGCACUUCCAUACUUGUUUUCUUCGCCUUCCCUCUCUCCCUGCCUUGUCGCUCGCGUGUGCUCUCCUCGCCCCCUCCUCCCCUGUGGCCGUUGUCUGCUUCUCUCUCUCACCUCCCUUUCUUCGAUUUGUGAUUGGCGCUUGCGUUUCUGUCUGUCCGUGUGCGUGCGUGCCUAUCAGGGCAUUCACUCGUUGUUUUGCGUUCUCAUUCACCGCCGUCUGCCCCUCCCUCCCUCCUUACACACAGACACACACGCGCCCAUGCGUACCAUGGCGCAGUCCUCUCUCUAUCCCUCGCAGCACCGCACUCUGCGGGUUCUCGAGCUUGCCUGCCCCGGCUCCGACGCAGACGUGCGCGAGAACUGCGCUUACCUCGUAUCAAAACGUCGCAUGACGAUCGACGAAGCAAUCGAAUAUGUGAAGGGCGAAGUGGAGAAGGGUAAGAGCACUGCCGCCACCGCGAUCACGACGACGACACCAUCGCUGGAAAGAGCUACAACAAUGAGUGCAACACGAAGCGCCGUGGCGGCGCCAGUUGCAGCUUCAGCAGCCUCCUCGUGCAGCCCGUCCAGGUCAUACCUACCACCGCCGUCCUGUCCGCGUCCGCGUGCUUGUGAAUGCGAGGGCAGCGAUGCUGGCGCCGACAACGCCGGGACGACUUAUUAUCAGGGGUACCAGUCAGCGCACACGCGGCCGUCGACGACCACGGAAGGCACCACGACCGCGACACGCGCGGUGCCGGUCUCGGCGAGACCAACGGCAGCACCGCCGUUGACAGCGGACGCGCCUCACAAGAAUCGCACGCCGGCUCGCAGCACGACACGCCGGCAAUACACACAGGGGGCAUCCGCCGUGACGGUGACGCCGCCUGUGGACGAGACGAGCCCUCAAACGCUAAUGAAAGGGCAAAGUGAACACCGGGUCUCGGAUGGUACGACUGACGGUGUGACCGGGUCGGGAGUGGCUGCGUCACGCCCGCGUAGCCGAGGGCGACUGGACCAGAAAGACGGUGAGCUGCACGAUCUUCGCGAGGCCUCCGCGCCGAUGGCCGAGGGGCAGCUCAAUGAAUCGAGCACGUGUGGCGUGUUCGCACCAACGACAGCGCGUAAGAGUCCCGAAUCAGCGGCGGCGGCGCUCACCGCGAGAGCGCCACCUGCGUCGAAGCCGGGGCGGGAUGCGUACAACGCCGAUGCGGCGACAGUUGCAGCUACUCCUCCGUCUACUGCGACUCUUCUUCAAAGACGGCCGCUACCACCCUGCCCUUCGGCGGUACCCUCUUUAGCCUACACAGGUUGCCGCGAGGGCGCAGCGGACGACGGCGCACCGCGCAAGGCGGCGGAGCGGGGGGACACAGAUGAGGGAUACUGCGUCGCUGAGCCACGGCUUUCGGAGCUGAAGCAGACCACGGAGGAGGAGCGCGCCGCCUUCGAGUCACAGCAGGCUGACAUGAUGUACUACUGGUACCGCGACGAAACCUCCAUGUUUGACGACUGCCUCUCACGCUACGGCCCUGGGCAGGUGUUGCUCUUCAUGACGAGCAUGACCGGCGAGCGCGCGGUGCGGGACCGUUGCCGGCUUAUGGAGAACUUGCUCUUCAUCAAGCUCAUCCCGCAUCACACCAUCGACAUUGCCGAUAGCGAGUUCUUCCACCGACGUGUGCGAAGGCUGUACACAAGUGCAACCAAUAAGCACAACAUGCCAGAGAUGCCGCUCCUUUUUGUGGACACGAAGCUGAUCGGCGACUUCGUCACGGUGCAGGAGCUGGAGGACUGCGGUGAGCUCGAUGCGAAGAUGAUCGAGGCAGGCUGCCGAGUGCUGCGCCAGCGUAUCGUCGACGCGUACCAACGGCAGCGUGCUGGCCUCGCAGCCGUGCCUUUGCUGCUGCCCGUGAACAAGAGGUCUGCGGCAAAGAGCACUGAGCCAGGGAAGCCCUCUUCUACUGCCCCUGUCGGUGCUUCGAGACCCAACGUAACGUUGGACCGCUGCGCCGUCACCAGUGGUGGCCAAUUAUAGCGAGGUCAUUGCUGCAAGAUGAGAGCCACGGCGGCAACGCAUGCUUGCCACUUCCUCCACCCGCGUCGAAGAGGUUCAUCAGUACGGGCAAUGGCGGCGGUGCGGAUACGGCACCGCCCCACUUGGCCCCCUGCUGCGUCGAGCAGCUCAGCUGCCACCAGCAGCGGCUCCCGCAACCGUCACAGCGCCGAGAACACGAGUAACGACCAGCUGAGCCGCACCCCACCGGCGCCUGACAGAAUCUCAGCAUGCUCGCCGGUUCCUCGCAGAUCGAGUCGCUCGCCUGCCGCACCGUCGGCGGCCUUCAGCUUGCCGGACUCUCCAGCCACGACGAGGCAGACCGACAUGGAAACGGGAAGCCUUGAGAGCACCAAUGAAGCACUGAGGCCCGGCUGCACUCGCGACGGCCCAGUCGUCGCGAGUAAGAGUCCGCAGUCGACGACCGCAGCGCUGCGCGCAGGCGCUAGCGAGCAGCGUCGUCCUUCCGCGAGCUAGGAUGUCGGCGCCUUGGCGUCGGCUGCGCCGUGCUUACCCUCACGGUGAUCAAGAGACCGCCUUGACGUCGAUGGCAUCCUGCGCGUUUGUGUGUCGCAAGUGAUGGCGUCGCUGCCGAGGAGCGCCGACACCGGCAACCGCAAUGCGCACAAGGGACCGCCCCCCUCCCCCGCGCGUACGCCCCCCAACGCCGGUUUUGGAGGGUGCGAGCGUAUGAUGCGUCGCCCGCGCUUGUUUUGGCGCGUUGUUUGCAUUUCGUCUAGCGCGAGUGCCGCUGUCUCACCCCCGCAGGCGCGCGCUUUCUCUUUUCCUUCUCCCCGGUCCCGCACCUCCCCUCCCCCUCCCUCCACACACGACACUCGCUUUUUUCCUUCCCUUUCUUCUGUGUGCACGCUUUCGCCUCGGUGUCGAUCCUGCCACCCCCUCGCCCUCUCUCUUACCCUUUCUUCGCUCUGUGCCCUCUCCCUUCACCGUUUUCCGCUGAAAAGCCUCUCGACACAAGAAUGCCACCUCUCCCCCUCUUCUUCCUCACCCCAUCCACCCCCGUUCUCUCUGUCCUUAUCUGCUCCCUGCCUGCCAGUGCCCAUGCAUGCCUCCCCUCCCCCUCCCCCUAAUUCCGUGUCAGUGUAGCCCUCUCACCUGUAGAGAGGGGGAGUAGGGGAGAGAAGAGAGAGAGUUCGAGAGACGGCAAGAGCGAGGCUUCCUACGGUUUGCAGCAAUACUUUCCGACGAGGACAGGGAGCCUCCUCCUCUUCUCCCCGAAGAAACAAGGAGGCCCGGGGGCGCACCGUCAAGGCACAUCCAAAAGAGGUAAUGCGGGCAAGGGAACUGAGAUGCACACAGUCACACAGGCACACAGGCACAGCCGCCCCUCUUCUCUUCACCUCUCCGACGCCGCCGCCCGACCUUCUCUGCACUUUCCCUUCCUAAGCUUCUCUUGUAUCUGCUGGGCGGGGGCGUGAGGCUCUGGUGCACGCAGGUGUGUGCGCAUGCACUUGCCUUCUCAUUUCUUGUGUUCUCUCCUCCUCCUCCUCCUCCUCCUCCCCCCUCAUCCUCACUUUGGCGUUUCUUAUUCUCUUUUUGCUUGUGUGCUGGGCAGGCAGGCAUGCGCACGCGCACACACGCACGCACGCUUUUUCCUCUCUCGGUUUUGCGCAAACAACUUCUUCGUACGUCUCUUCAUGUGGCUACUUGUAGUGCCCCUCGCUCUGUCUCCGCUGCUGCUGUUUGAUGUGCAUCUCGCAACGGAAUGCGAGUGUGAAUGGGCGUGGAUGACUGGGUGUUAGGGGAGAGAUGAUGACAUGCGCGCGCGCGUCCGUCUCACGAUCGCUCUUGCGGAGUAGACUGGUUACCACGUGUGUGUGCGCGCAUGAGCGUGUUGACGCCUCUUCUUUUUGCUUUGCUUUCACGUGCUCUCAUGCUGGGGUCGAACACGCACACCGACACACCGGCACAGGCGCACGCAUGCCUCCUUUCGUUUAUAUUCAUUUCUAGAACUUUAAAGGGCGAGCAAGAGAGAGGAGACAGUCGGAGGCGACACACAUGCACACGCACACACACAGGAGUGGAGGAGUCAGACGGUACCAAGGCGGUCUUUGCUCUUCCCGCUCGCUCUCGCUCUCGCUCUCUCUCUCUGUCUUCCUACGCAGAACAAAACCAAAGGAAUAUCAACGAGAGCAUGCGGGCAGACACAGAAGUGGCAUCGAAGCGCGACAACGGUGGGGUGGGGAGGGCUGGCAAGGCACAUCGACUAGAGAAGGCCCGCUGCAGGUGACGGGAGGGUGCAGGGGCGCUCACCCACUCGCUAACGGACCGGAUGGCUGGAGGACAAGAAAAGGGCAACCUACUGCGCUCACCUGCAGUCCCUCCACUCCCCCUCUCCAUAUACUGGCCUGAGCGCCUCCCUCAGGCCGCUCCUAAUCUUCUUCACUCCCUACUGAAACACUCAGCCUCCCCUACGCCUCCCAAAAGCCUAAUAUGAUGCCCACGGCUGUCUCUCGCUCGUCUGUUGCUACGACGGUGGCUAUUCCUCACUCCUCGUCCCUUUCAUCUUGUUUUCCUUUUGGCUCUUGCUGUUCGCCGACUCUUACCCCUCUCCACGCAACGCCGCCUCGCCCUUUCCAUCACUCACUCACACGCGCCUGCGCACUGCCACGUCCAAACCACCUUCGUGCAUGCCAUACCACUGCUGUUCUCGUGUUUUGCGUUGUGGCCGUGACAG
rnacentral:misc_RNA from 1 species